rnacentral:rRNA from 1 species
GAUGAACGCUGGCGGCGUGCCUAAUACAUGCAAGUCGAGCGAACAGACGAGGAGCUUGCUCCUCUGACGUUAGCGGCGGACGGGUGAGUAACACGUGGAUAACCUACCUAUAAGACUGGGAUAACUUCGGGAAACCGGAGCUAAUACCGGAUAAUAUAUUGAACCGCAUGGUUCAAUAGUGAAUGACGGUUUUGCUGUCACUUCUAGAUGGAUCCGCGCCGCAUUAGCUAGUUGGUAAGGUAACGGCUUACCAAGGCAACGAUGCGUAGCCGACCUGAGAGGGUGUUCGGCCACACUGGAACUGAGACACGGUCCAGACUCCUACGGGAGGCAGCAGUAGGGAAUCUUCCGCAAUGGGCGAAAGCCUGACGGAGCAACGCCGCGUGAGUGAUGAAGGUCUUCGGAUCGUAAAACUCUGUUAUUAGGGAAGAACAAAUGUGUAAGUAACUAUGCACGUCGUGACGGUACCUAAUCAGAAAGCCACGGCUAACUACGUG